CCCUUGGUAGCUCAGCUUGGAAGAGCCCUCGGCUGUAGACCGAGUUGUCCCGUGUUCAAAUCACGGCCAAGGGA
rnacentral:tRNA from 1 species